rnacentral:rRNA from 1 species
GAGUAAAGAUUUCGGUCGCUUUGGGAGGAGCUCGCUUACUAUCAGCUUGUUGGUAGGGUAAUGGCCUACCAAGGCUAUGACGGUUAGGGGGUGUGAGAGCAUGACCCCCAGCAUUGGCACUGAAACACUGGCCAAACACCUACGGGUGGCUGCAGUCGAGAAUCUUCCACAAUGGGGGAAACCCUGAUGGAGCGAUGCUGCGUGCGGGAUGAAGGCCUUCGGGUUGUAAACCGCUUUUGUAGGGGACGAAAUUUUUGACGGUACCCUUUCGAAUAAGAGGUUGCUAACUCUGUGCCAGCAGCAGCGGUAAUACAGAGACCUCAAGCGUUAUCCGGAUUUACUGGGCGUAAAGCGUCUGUAGGGGGUUUAUUAAGUUCCAAGUAAAAUUUCAAGGCUCAACUUUGAAUUCGCUUGGAAAACUAAUAAACUGGAGUCUAGCAGAGGUGCAUGGAACUUGUGGUGUAGGAGUGAAAUCCGUUGAUAUCACAAGGAACACCAAAGGCGAAGGCAUUGCACUGGGGCUAGCACUGACCCUGAGAGACGAAAGCGUGGGGAGCAAAACGGAUUAGAUACCCGUGUAGUCCACGCCCUAAACGAUGAAUGCUAAAUGUUCGGGGAUUCGACCCCCUGGGUGUUACAGCUAACGCGUUAAGCAUUCCGCCUGGGAAGUACGGCCGCAAGGCUAAAACUCAAAGGAAUAGACGGGGAUCCGCACAAGCGGUGGAGCGUCUGGUUUAAUUCGACAGUAAGCGUGGUACCUCACCAGGGUUUGACAUCCCUUGACAGCCUUGGAAACAAGGUUUCCUUCGGGCAAGGUGACAGGUGCUGCAUGGUCGUCGUCAGUUCGUGCCGUGAGGUGUUCCGUUAAGUCGGGAAACAAACGAAACCCCUAUUGCAUGUUACAAUUUCUCAUGCAAGACUGCCCGGAUAUACUGGGAGGAAGGUGGGGAUGACGUCAGAUCUGCAUGGUCCUUAUACCCUGGGCGACACAGGCGCUACAAUGGCAGAGACAAAGGGUUGCAAAACCGCAAGGUGAAGCUAAUCCCAAAAACUUUGUCUAAGUUCGGAUUGAAGGCUGCAAUUCGCCUUCAUGAAGCUGGAAUCGCUAGUAAUCGUGAAUCAGCCACGUCACGGUGAAUAUGUUCCCGGAUCUUGUACUCGCCGCCCGUCACACCAAGAGAGUUGGUAGCUCCCGA